rnacentral:tRNA from 2 species
UCCUCGAUAGCUCAGUCGGUAGAGCACGCGGCUGUUAACCGCGCUGUCGUAGGUUCGAGUCCUACUCGGGGAGCGA